rnacentral:tRNA from 1 species
AGAAAUAUGUCUGAUAAUAGAGUUACUUUGAUAGAGUAAAAAAUAGAGGUGAAAAUCCUCUUGUUUCUA